AUACGGAGGGUGCAAGCGUUAAUCGGAAUUACUGGGCGUAAAGCGCGCGUAGGUGGUUUAGUAAGUCGGAUGUGAAAGCCCUGGGCUCAACCUGGGAAUUGCAUUCGAUACUGCUUGACUAGAGUAUGGUAGAGGGAAGUGGAAUUUCCGGUGUAGCGGUGAAAUGCGUAGAUAUCGGAAGGAACACCAGUGGCGAAGGCGACUUUCUGGGCCAAUACUGACGCUGAGGUGCGAAAGCGUGGGGAGCAAACAGGAUUAGAAACCCCAGUAGUCC
rnacentral:rRNA from 1 species